rnacentral:rRNA from 1 species
GACGAACGCUGGCGGCGCGCUUAACACAUGCAAGUCGAGCGAAGCGGCAGACGGGUUAGUAACACGUGAGUAACCUGCCUUAGACAUUGGGAUAGCCUCGGGAAACGGGGAUUAAUACCAAAUGGUCUAAGAUGGACUCGCGUCCAAUUAGCUAGUUGGUGAUGAAACGGCCCACCAAGGAGACGAUGGGUAGCCGGCCUGAGAGGGUGAACGGCACCAUUGGAACUGAGAAACGGUCCAAACUCUACGGGAGGCAGAAGUGGGGAAUAUUGCACAAUGGAGGUAACUCUGAUGCAGCGACUCCGCGUGAACGAAGAAGGCUUUCGAGUCGUAAAGUUCUUUUAUAUGGGAAGCGGUACCAUAAGAAAAAGCCCCGGCUAACUACGUGCCAGCCGCCGCGGUAAUUC